UCCCUUUCCCCUUUCUUCUUCCGCCGAAACCCCUUCCCCCUCGUGUUUUCUCUCCAGCCGAGACCCUAGCCGCCGCCCAGCCUUCAACCACCGCCCAGAUCGGAAGCCGAAGGUCCACCACGCGCCGCGCCUCUGCAAAAACCCAGUCGCUCGCAACUGUACAGUCGUGACACCCAGUCACUCACGUCCACGUCAUUUCCUCUACUUAGUCGCGUCGCGCAAGAGAUCUUCAUUGUUUGUCUGUCCUCGCAAGAUCCAUCUACCGACUAGGUCGUCCGUUCGUGCUCGUUGACCGAUCACCGAAGCCGUUGCCCAGAUCUACUCCAGCCCUAGCCGUGCGAUCCCUGCCUCAUUGCAUGGCGCUGUCAAUCUUCGCCAUCUCCAUCAAAGCACACCGCCACUCCAGCCGUCCUCGCUUCGCUCGUCACACUCGGCCAACGAUCUCUUCUUCAGCCCAUCAUAGCAACCGGAACCCAUGGCCAGUCGCUGGAAUUUUAGGCCCAAGAAUCACGUUUCGAGACUUUUGGUCAGUUGCCCAACUCAUUUGAGGCCGUUUCGUUAGACGUUUGGGUGAACGUUAUGGAGUAGAAGAGUGGAUUUUGGUUUGGAAGUGUUGAUAAAUGUUGAUGUUAAAUUAUGUUGUCCUUAGAUUAAAUCUUGGACUUGUCUAGGGGUGGGAGAAAUUACUUGGGAUAAUUUCGUCGUGCAAUUUGAGGUAAGUAAUCUUACUACUAGAACUGUCCUACAAUGAUAAUUAUGAUUUAUUGAGGAUUAUUAGUUAGCAUGAUA